UUUUUGGAAAAGGGUGGUUGUAAAUUUAGGAAGUUCUGAUUUGUUGCCCUAGCAAGAGGGUUAUAAAUACACACUUUAGGCUAAAGAGAAAAUGGGGAUACGGCAGAAAACAAAAAAUAUUGGCAAAGAAAAAUUUUAUCUCAAACUUUUCCUAGUACUUUUGUUUUUUCUUAGCAUUUUCUGGUUUCUUCUAGUGAUCCUGGUCAUCAAGAAAUAUUGAGAGGGACCUUUGUUGCUGCUAUAGUGACUGCUAUGCUCCAUUUAUAAUUUUCAGAUUUUUAUUUUUGAUUCUUCUUCUAGUAGGUAUGUAAACUUCAGCUUUGAAUGGAAUUUAGAAUAAAUUUUGCUCAUGCUAAGUCCUUGUUUCUAGAUCUGUAUUUUGUGCAUCUUUCUAUCUUUCGAAUCCAUUUAAUUCUCAUCGCAUAACUAAUAUCAUGAUUCUUGCUUCAAUUAAGUGUAAAAUUAUUUAGGUUAGUAAGGUAUUAUGUUAAAAGUUAGCUUGUAGGAUCCGAAAAUGUUCAUCUAAACUCCUACAUGUCUCAUCGAUUUGAUUUCUUUUUACUACUAAUAAAAUAUUUAAGAAGUGAAGUGUACUGCAAAUAAAGUCUUUAUUAUGAAGUUCAUUGUGAAUCGCAAUUAAAUUUGUUAGCUAGCAAAAGAAAAAUGUAUUAUGUGUGUAAUGCAGAUUGAAGGUGGUUUGUUAUAUUGUAUCUUGCUUGAUAGUGACCUUUCAUUCCAUAAGCAUGUCCCUUCUGACAGAAUGUGUACCUUGGUUAAAAAGAAAAAAAUGUUAAAUCAUUAGGAGGGGGAUGGAACGGCUCCACUGUUGAGUUUUUGGUAUUUGGUCUUGGUAAGGAUAGUAUCUAACAUACAUGUCAUUUUCGAUUACAACAGUGUUAGCUAGAGAAUGUUGAAAUCCUUAUUGUGUGUAAUUGCUUGCACUCUACUUGGUAAAUUCCUUGGAAUGGAAAGGAAGUUAACAACGGUGAAUCCUCUGAAUUGCUGCUGAAUUUUAAUCAAUUGAAGGCGCAUUUGCGGAUCUUAGUGGAGAUCAAUAGCCGGAAAAUAGUCACCCGAUGAACAUGAAUAAUUCGCCCUGGGCAUAGUUAGAACAUCACGACUACGGGGCCGAUUUUGUUGCAAAAUGGUGUUAAUCACUUGUUCUAACAAAGAGCAAAUGGCUAACAUCAUUUGGGGAUGAAAUCGGAAAAAAUUCAAAUGCCAAAUGAACCUGUUGAGUUGGUGAGUCCCCAGUACUACCUCUUUUCUUUUCUUGUUUUUAUUUCAUUUUUGCCUCGUAUUUUUCUCUUCUUGAGUUUUGAAUUAAGGUUAAAAGUGUGAAAUGUCCGUUCGUUGUCCUUAUGUUCAUAUUCGUGCAUGUCGUUAAUUAAUUUGAUAACUGAUUUUGCUUUUCAAUCUAGUCGAAGGUUUUAAUCUUUUGUUUACUAUAAUCAAGGUACUUCAGAACUUAGGGGAAUAAAUAACAGAAGUUUUGAGGGUAAUUUGGGUAGGAAAAUCUGCCAAUAAUUAAAUAGGAGGUUUCUCAAUAGUGGUAGGGUCUAGGAAAUGCACUACUGAAUUAGUUAAAAAAACAUUAAGUUAGUGGAAUGAAUUAAAAAAUAGAAAAGGGUAUUGGUAGUGGAAACUACACUUGUUUAAGGACCUUUUAAGAGCUGGAAAACAGAAGAACAUGGGGGUGUGAUUAAAAGGCUAAGGGAUACACAUGGUAAGAGAAUAAAACAAGCUGGAAAGGGAAAAGAUUUGAAUAAAAAAGGGAGUUGGCUCUAGUCUUAAAACAGACACACAUAGACAGAAAGAUGGGCAUUGAGAUACACACAGACAGACCUAAGAGAAGGGGAUAGAAUCAGAAGUGAGGAGAAAACUACUGUUCCAUUGCUGUUCUGCAUUAAAUCUUGAAACUUUCUAUUCCUAGAUAAGUUUUCUGAUUUUCUACAGUUUCAAAAACGAUUUGAAUUGGUUUUGGAAAGUAUUUGUUCGAAUUUUCCAUCCGUUAACUGUUACAUUGAUAUAUCCGGGGUUAUUAGUUGUCUUCUCGGAUAAAAUCUGGGCUGAUCGCUGUUCUUGCUACUGUUCUGCUGCUGCUUCCUCAUUUUCUGUGUUGUUUUCGAAUUCCAGGUACCACCUUAGCCCCCCCUGAGUAGCAAGUGAUUGUUGAAACAUGUAAAUCGAGAGAUUGGUUGAAUACAGGAUACAUUGCACUUAAUUUCUUUUGUUUUCUUCCAUUUCUUUAAGUAUUCUGUAGUAAACCUUGUAUUACAUAUGUUUAGCCUAAUUAUUGUACUAAGGAAGUGAAUCUAUGACCUUUAAGAAUUCCUCAUCUGUUUGAUGGCUUAACAGCCGGAUUCACUAUGUUUUCUGCCUAAUUUCUGAUUUAGGCAGUAAAGUUCGAAUGCACAAGUUUAAUUUGGGACUGUUAGAGAUAGUGUAGUAUCUGGUUUGUUCUAGUUACACGACCAGUUUUGUUUCUUCUAUAUUGCUGGAAGUCAGCGUGAUAGUUUCGUAUGGAAUUUGCAAAAAUGA